GAUGAACGCUGGCGGCGUGCCUAAUACAUGCAAGUCGAGCGAACAGACGAGGAGCUUGCUCCUUCGACGUUAGCGGCGGACGGGUGAGUAACGCGUAGGUAACCUACCUAUAAGACUGGGAUAACUUCGGGAAACCGGAGCUAAUACCGGAUAAUAUUUCGAACCGCAUGGUUCGAUAGUGAAAGAUGGCUUUGCUAUCACUUAUAGAUGGACCUGCGCCGUAUUAGCUAGUUGGUAAGGUAACGGCUUACCAAGGCAACGAUACGUAGCCGACCUGAGAGGGUGAUCGGCCACACUGGAACUGAGACACGGUCCAGACUCCUACGGGAGGCAGCAGUAGGGAAUCUUCCGCAAUGGGCGAAAGCCUGACGGAGCAACGCCGCGUGAGUGAUGAAGGUCUUCGGAUCGUAAAACUCUGUUAUUAGGGAAGAACAAACGUGUAAGUAACUGUGCACGUCUUGACGGUACCUAAUCAGAAAGCCACGGCUAACUACGU
rnacentral:rRNA from 1 species